rnacentral:siRNA from 1 species
GAGGACAUUGUCAGGUGGGGA